CCUACGGGAGGCAGCAGUGGGGAAUAUUGCACAAUGGGGGAAACCCUGAUGCAGCGACGCCGCGUGAGCGAUGAAGUAUUUCGGUAUGUAAAGCUCUAUCAGCAGGGAAGAAGAUGACGGUACCUGACUAAGAAGCCCCGGCUAACUACGUGCCAGCAGCCGCGGUAAUACGUAGGGGGCAAGCGUUAUCCGGAUUUACUGGGUGUAAAGGGAGCGUAGACGGCGAUGCAAGCCAGUUGUGAAAGCUCGGGGCUCAACCCCGGGACUGCAUUUGGAACUGUGUGGCUGGAGUGUCGGAGAGGCAGGCGGAAUUCCUAGUGUAGCGGUGAAAUUCGUAGAUAUUAGGAAGAACACCAGUGGCGAAGGCGGCCUGCUAGACUGUGACUGACGUUGAGGCCCGAAGGCGUGGGGAGCAAACAGGAUUAGAUACCCGUGUAGUC
rnacentral:rRNA from 1 species